UGUGUGCAUGCACACUUCUUCAGAUACACUGAAGAAUACACACCAGUGUAUCUGAAGAAGUGUGCAUGUGAGCU